UCCUAUUCAGUGUUGUAGCUUGGCACCUGA
rnacentral:piRNA from 1 species